GACGAACGCUGGCGGCGGGCUUAACACAUGCAAGUCGAACGGAAAGGCCCUGCUUUUGUGGGGUGCGCGAGUGGCGAACGGGUGAGUAACACGUGAGUAACCUGCCCUUGACUUUUGGGUAACUUCAGCGAACUGGGGGUAAUACCAGAUAGGAGCUCCUGCUGCAGGGUGGGGGUGGGCUAGGUUCGGUGGGUGGGGAUAGACUCGCGGCGUAGCAGCUUGUGGGGGGGGUAGUGGCUUACCAAGGCUCUGACGGGUGGCCGGCAUGAGAGGGUGACCGGCCACCUGGGGACUGAGAUACGGACCAGACUCGUACGGGGGGCAGCAGGGGGAAAUAUGGCACAGUGGGCGGACGCCUGAUGAAGAAACGCCGCGUGCGGAAUGACGGCCUGUGGGUUGAAAAACGCUGCCGCCUGUGACGCAGUGUGAGUGACGGUAAUGGGUGAAGAAGCACCGGCUAACUACGUG
rnacentral:rRNA from 1 species